rnacentral:rRNA from 1 species
CAUGCAUGUCUAAGUACAAGCCUCAGUAAGGUGAAACCGCGAAUGGCUCAUUAAAUCACACCUAAUCUACUGGAAAGUUACUAGUUACUUGGAUAACUGAGGUAAUUCUUGAGCUAAUACAUGCGAAAAAUCUCGACUCACGGAGAGAUGCUUUUAUUAGAUCAAAACCAAACGGCUUCGGCCGUCUCAUUGGUGACUCUGAAUAACUUUGGGCUGAUCGUAUGGCCUUGUGCCGACGACGUUUCCUUCGAAGGUGUGCCCUAUCAACUGUCGACUGUGAUAUAGACGCUCACAGUGGUUUUGACGGGUAACGGGGAAUCAGGGUUCGAUUCCGGAGAGGGAGCCUUAAAAACGGCUACCACAUCCAAGGAAGGCAGCAGGCACGCAAAUUACCCAAUGACCGAAGGUCGAGGUAGUGACGAAAAAUAACGAUACAGGACUCAUCCGAGGCCCUGUAAUUGGAAUGAGUACACUUUAAAACCGUUCCCGAGGAUCUAUUGGAGGGCAAGUCUGGUGCCAGCAGCCGCGGUAAUUCCAGCUCCAAUAGCGUAUAUUAAAGUUGUUGUGGUUAAAAAGCUCGUAGUUGGAUCUCGGCGGACAGAAGUCGGUCCGAAUGCUUUCGGUACUGGCUUGUUUGUCCGUGUGUUUUGCCAGAGGCAGGCGGGUGCUCUUCGCCGAGUGUCCGUCUGUGCUGGCAGGUUUACUUUGAAAAAAUUAGAGUGCUCAAAGCAAGCUCUUACGCUUGAAUAUUCGUGCAUGGAAUAAUAGAAUAGGAUGUCGUUUCUAUUUUGUUGGUUUUCGGAAAUCGACAUAAUGAUUAAUAGGGACAGUCGGGGGCAUUUGUAUUCAAACGACAGAGGUGAAAUUCUUGGACCGUUUGAAGACAAACUACUGCGAAAGCAUUUGCCAAGAAUGUUUUCAUUAAUCAAGAACGAAAGUUAGAGGUUCGAAGGCGAUUAGAUACCGCCCUAGUUCUAACCAUAAACGAUGCCAGCUAGCGAUCUGCAGGCGUUUUACUUUACGACCUUGCAGGGAGCUUCCGGGAAACCAAAGCUUGUGGGUUCCAGGGGAAGUAUGGUUGCAAAGCUGAAACUUAAAGGAAUUGACGGAAGGGCACCACCAGGCGUGGAGCCUGUGGCUUAAUUUGACUCAACACGGGAAAUCUCACCAGGCCCGGACACGAGAAGGAUUGACAGAUUGAUAGCUCUUUCUUGAUUUCGUGGGUGGUGGUGCAUGGCCGUUCUUAGUUGGUGGAGUGAUUUGUCUGGUUAAUUCCGAUAACGAACGAGACUCUGUCCUGCUAACUAGUGUCUGCUUCUUUUCUGAGCAGAUUAUUCUUCUUAGAGGGACUGGUAGCUCUUAGCUACACGAGAUUGAGCAAUA